rnacentral:rRNA from 1 species
GGGGAAUAUUGCACAAUGGGCGAAAGCCUGAUGCAGCGACGCCGCGUGCGGGAUGAAGGCCUUCGGGUUGUAAACCGCUUUUGAUUGGGAGCAAGCGAGAGUGAGUGUACCUUUCGAAUAAGCACCGGCUAACUACGUGCCAGCAGCCGCGGUAAUACGUAGGGUGCAAGCGUUAUCCGGAAUUAUUGGGCGUAAAGAGCUCGUAGGCGGUUUGUCGCGUCUGGUGUGAAAGUCCAUCGCUUAACGGUGGAUCUGCGCCGGGUACGGGCAGGCUAGAGUGCGACAGGGGAGACUGGAAUUCCCGGUGUAACGGUGGAAUGUGUAGAUAUCGGGAAGAACACCAAUGGCGAAGGCAGGUCUCUGGGUCGUCACUGACGCUGAGGAGCGAAAGCGUGGGGAGCGAACAGGAUUAGAUACCCUGGUAGUCCACGCCGUAAACGGUGGAUGCUGGAUGUGGGGCCC